AAGCUAGCCAGCUAGUCUGCCUAUCUGCAUGUGUUUCUGCAGAAAUGAAGGGAAAGCUGCCUAUAGUGAUGCCAUGUUAUAAGUCUUAAGGGCAACUGAGGCCAUUAAGGUCCCUGGACAUGUUGAAGCA
rnacentral:snoRNA from 1 species